GUGUAUUUGGAAAUAUCCCUAAUACAGGAUCACUUGGAUCCGUCGGCGAUGACGAGCGCGAAAGAAUGCGAAAAGUCCUCACGGAAUGCUCUAAUUAUGAGAUAAUCUCAUGGAUACUCCCUGGACUUAAGCAUAUCAUUAAGGGAAGGAAAAGAAACUAACUAGGAUUCCGUUAGUAGUGGCGAAUGAACACGGAAGAGCUCCAAUGGUAAAGCCUAAGUGCUGUUGUAUGUAGCCUCCGAAAACAUUCUGGAAAGGAUGACACAGUGGGUGAUAGUCCAGAGGAGAUGUAAGAUAGAGUAUGCUGCUGUAUGCAGUAUGAGAGAGUAGAACUCUAAGCUAAUACGACGAUACGAUGAGAGAAUAUGCGACGAAGUGA
rnacentral:ncRNA from 1 species